UCUCUCUUGGUAUAUCGGUAGAACACAACCCUGUCAUUGAUUCAGUUAUCUGAUCAACGCCCGGUUGAGAGCUGGGUUCGACUCCCAGAGGGAGAG